UACGUAGGGGGCAAGCGUUGUCCGGAAUUAUUGGGCGUAAAGAGCGCGUAGGCGGUCCGAUAAGUCGGCUGUGAAAGUCAGGGGCUCAACCCGUGAAAGCCGGCCGAUACUGUCGGACUAGAGUCCGGAAGAGGCAAGUGGAAUUCCCGGUGUAGCGGUGAAAUGCGCAGAUAUCAGGAGGAACACCGGUGGCGAAGGCGGGUCUCUGGGCCGAUACUGACGCUGAGGAGCGAAAGCGUGGGGAGCGAACAGG
rnacentral:rRNA from 1 species